ACCCUUGCCUUUUGUAUACCAUCCGGUUUCCUCGGCAGGCUCGCCUGCCAAUGGGGACCAAAAUAAACCUUUGUAAUAACCUGUAAUUAGUCUGAUUAAAAAAUAAAAAUUAAAACUUUUAACAACGGAUCUCUUGGUUCUGGCAUCGAUGAAGAACGCAGCGAAAUGCGAUAAGUAGUGUGAAUUGCAGAAUUCAGUGAAUCAUCGAAUCUUUGAACGCACAUUGCGCCCUCUGGUAUUCCGGAGGGCAUGCCUGUUCGAGCGUCAUUAUAACCACUCAAGCCUAGCUUGGUAUUGGGGUUCGCCAGCCCGGCGGCCCUUAAACUCAGUGGCGGUGCCGUCUGGCUCUACGCGUAGUAAUACUCCUCGCGAUAGGGUCCGGUCGGUUGCUUGCCAACAACCCCCAAUUUUUUCAGGUUGACCUCGGAUCAGGUAGGGAUACCCGCUGAACUUAAGCAUAUCAA
rnacentral:rRNA from 1 species